GCAGACACAUUCCAGCCAAUCAGCAUCAGACCCUCCCUCCCAGACCCUCCCACCUCCUGGACAGCAUCCAUUUUACAUUCAUUGUGAAGCUGCAUUCUUAGUGAGCUGUCCAGGAGGUGGGAGGGUCUGGGAGGGAGGGUCUACUGCUGAUUGGCUGGAAUGUGUCUG